CUUCGACGGGAAGGUGUACUUCAUCGAUCACAACACGCGGAAGACUACGUGGAUCGAUCCACGAGAUAGAUUUACUAAACCACAACAUUC